GGUGAGAUGGCCGAGUGGUUAUGGCGCCGUGUUCAGGUAAUCCGAUUAUAUCGUGAGCUAUCAAGAACAAAUUCGCGGUGGAGCAAUCCGCGUGGGUUCGAGUCCCACUCUCAUCA